AGCGAACGCUGGCGGCAGGCUUAACACAUGCAAGUCGAGCGGACCUUUCGGGGUCAGCGGCGGACGGGUGAGUAACGCGUGGGAACGUGCCUUCCGGUUCGGAAUAACCCUGGGAAACUAGGGCUAAUACCGGAUAAGCCCCUAUGGGGAAAGGUUUACUGCCGGAAGAUCGGCCCGCGUCUGAUUAGCUAGUUGGUGGGGUAACGGCCUACCAAGGCGACGAUCAGUAGCUGGUCUGAGAGGAUGAUCAGCCACACUGGGACUGAGACACGGCCCAGACGCCUACGGGAAGCAGCAGUGGGGAAUAUUGGACAAUGGGCGCAAGCCUGAUCCAGCCAUGCCGCGUGAGUGAUGAAGGCCUUAGGGUUGUAAAGCUCUUUUAUCCGGGACUAUAAUGACGGUACCGGAGGAAUAAGCCCCGGCUAACUUCGUG
rnacentral:rRNA from 1 species